AACUGACGUAAUUGCCCAUGGUGCCCUGCACCGAAACAUUUGAAUGUGCAUUUUGCAAAGCAUUAUAUUCAAAUUAUGAAGUAGAGACUGAUAAAGUUUAUUUAAUGAUGUAGCCCGGACUGCACAGCACUGAAUGAGGGGAUGAUAGUGAACAAUGAAUUGGAAAGGAUGUGGAAGGAAGCAGUCAUGGCCUAAUUUAAGGUACUACCUGGCAAUUUCCUGGAGGGACUGAGGAAAACCAUGAAAUAACUCAUUCAGUAUAGCUGGUCUCUGAGCCGAGAUUUGAACCCGGGACUUCCCAAAUAUGAAGUAGGUCAACCACGACAUUUGGUGAUUUUGAUGCGAAGUAAUGUUCAACAACGAACACAUUCUACUCAUGAAUACACCAUGUUCAUACCUGCACAAUUUUUGUGCCACUGGCAUGAACAGCGGCCUACCACCCAGGGUAACCAUGACUCCAUUGUCAUGGGGGGGUUGUCUCGUUUAGGUCGGAUAAUCAGGACUCUACUGUAUAUCACCAAAGAAAUAUUUACUUUAUUUUCUUAGUAAAAACACAAGAGAAUCCCCCCCCCACACUAAAACAACAGUAAUCAUGGCAUAUUUAUUACUUUAAAAAUAUACAAAAGUACUGCUUAUUUGAACAAGGACUUGUAAUAUAUAUAAAAUAUUCAACUUUCAGAAUGCUGCAAAAUACACACAGCAGCAAACACUACAAUUGAACUUACAAAAACAUAUCUGUAGGAUCCAUCAACAUGGAAGACAUGCAUCAUUACUGGUUCUCUUAUGUACAAUCUUGAAAAGUUUGUCUUAUGUAAAUUUUCAUAAAAAACUAAAUGGCAUCUCA